rnacentral:rRNA from 1 species
AACGAACGCUGGCGGCAUGCCUAAUACAUGCAAGUCGAACGCUAACUUCGGGUCUAGUGGCGCACGGGUGCGUAACGCGUGGGAACAUGCCCUUAGGUUCGGAAUAACUUCUCGCAAGGGGUGCUAAUACCGGACAAUGUCUUCGGCCCAAAGAUUUAUCGUCUUUGGAUGGGUUUAUGUUGGAUUAGCAAGUUGGUAGGGUAAAAGCCUACCAAGGUGACGAUACAUAGCUGGUCUGAGAGGAUGGUCAGCCACACUAGGACUGUGACACGUCUCGAACUCCUACGGAUGGCAGCGGUGGUGAAUGUUGGACGAUGCGCGAGAGCCUAAGCCAGCAGUGUCGCGUGGGUGAGUAGUACCUUAGGAUUGUAUGGGUCUUUUGCCAGGUAUGAUAAUGACAGUACCGUGAGAGUAAGGUCCGGCUAACUCCGUG